GGAACCAUGGAAACCCCAGCGCAGCUUCUCUUCCUCCUGCUACUCUGGCUCCCAGACCGGAGAAAUUGUGUUGACGCAGUCUCCAGGCACCCUGUCUUUGUCUCCAGGGGAAAGAGCCACCCUCUCCUGCAGGGCCAGUCAGAGUGUUAGCAGCAGCUACUUAGCCUGGUACCAGCAGAAACCUGGCCAGGCUCCCAGGCUCCUCAUCUAUGGUGCAUCCAGCAGGGCCACUGGCAUCCCAGACAGGUUCAGUGGCAGUGGGUCUGGGACAGACUUCACUCUCACCAUCAGCAGACUGGAGCCUGAAGAUUUUGCAGUGUAUUACUGUCAGCAGUAUGGUAGCUCACCUUGUGCAGUUUUGGCCAGGGGACCAAGCUGGAGAUCAAACG
rnacentral:lncRNA from 1 species